rnacentral:rRNA from 1 species
GUGCAGCAGUCGAGAAUACUUUACAAUGUGCGAAAGCACGAUAAGGGAACUCUGAGUGCCUCCUAAGGAGGCUGUUCUGAUGUCUAAAAAGCAACAGAAGUAAGGGCUGGGUAAGACCGGUGCCAGCCGCCGCGGUAACACCGGCAGCCCAAGUGGUAGCCACGUUUAUUGGGUCUAAAGCGUUCGUAGCCGGCCAGGUAAGUUCCUUGGUAAAUUUAGCCGCUUAACGGUUAAGCUUUCAGGGAAUACUGCUUGGCUUGGGACUGGGAGAGGUCAGAGGUACUCCGGGGGUAGGGGUGAAAUCUAUUAAUCCCUGGGGGACCACCGGUAGCGAAGGCGUCUGACCAGACCAGGUCCGACGGUGAGGGACGAAGGCUAGGGGCGCGAACCGGAUUAGAUACCCCUGUAGU